rnacentral:rRNA from 1 species
UACACACCGCCCGUCACACCACGAAAGUUGAUUGCAACCGAAGUCGGUGAUCCAACCCGCAAGGAGGUAACCGCCGAAGUUGUGAUCAAUGAUUGGGGUG